AUGGCCAGCUCGUCAGCGUUGGAGUUCACCGUGAGGAGGAAGCCUGCGGUGCUGGUGCCGCCCGCGGCCCCUACGCCGCGGGAGCUGAAGAGGCUCUCCGACAUUGACGACCAGGACGGGCGCUUCCAGCUCCCCGCCAUCCACUUCUUCCGGCAGCACGACGGCCGGGACGACGACCCUGCGCCUGUACUACGCGGCGCCAUAGCGGCGGUGCUCGUGCACUACUACCCGUUCGCAGGGCGGCUGAGGGAGCUCGAGGGCCGCAAGCUCGCCGUCGACUGCACCGGCGAGGGUGUGCUGUUCGUCGAGGCUGACGCCGACGUCCGCCUUGACCAGUUUGAUGCGGCCCUGGGGCCGCCCUUCCCGUGCCUCGACGAGCUCCUAUUUGACGUCCCCGGCUCCUCUGGUAUCCUCGACUGCCCGCUCCUCCUUUUCCAGGUGACACGGCUCGCUUGUGGCGGCUUCGUCAUGGCUGUGAGGAUACAGCACACGAUAGCAGAUGGGCUGGGGAUGGUGCAGCUCCUAGGUGCUAUCGCAGAGCUGGCUCGGGGUGCGCGGGCGCCAACUGUGCGACCGGUGUGGGGGCGCGAGCUGCUGAAGGCGCCACUGCUGCUGAACGAUGGCUUUGCGCACCGGGAGUACGAUAAUGUGAUGGACAUUAAUGGCGCCAUUGUGCCCUUUGAAUUCAUGGUGCACCGCUUCUUCAUUGGGUGGCAGGAGAUCUCCGCCAUCCGAUCCCACCUCCCAUUGGCUCUCAGUCGCGAAGCUACCAACUUCGAGGUCAUCACGGGGUGCCUGUGGAGGUGCCGCACGGCAGCUCUGCCCGGCGCUGACGAGGAAAUGAGGAUGAUAUGUACCGUCAACAUCCGUGGCAAAAAAGACACUAUCGUCCCCGUCGGCUACUAUGGCAAUGCCUUCGCGCCCGUCGCCAUCUCCACUGCCGGUGACUUGCUCGCCAACCCUGUGAGCUACGCCGUGGAGCUGGUGAUGAAGGCGAAGCGGGAGGUGGAUAUGGAGUACAUCCUCUCCGUGGCAGCGCUCAUGGCACAACGCAGACGGCCACACUUUGCGGUGGCGCGCGGCUACCUCGUCUCAGACGUGACCAAGUUUGGAUUCCGUGACCUUGACUUCGGCUCGGGCAAGCCAGUGUAUGCCGGUCCGGCGGAGGGCGGAGUCGUCGCCAUACCAGGCGUCGCCAGCUUCUUCAUUGCUUUAAGGAACGCCAUGGGCGAGGAGGGUAUCGCAGUCCCGGUGUGCAUGCCCGGCCACACCAUGGACAAGUUCGUUAACGAGAUGGGCAAGCUCAUGCGCCCGGCAUUGGCUGAAACGUUUUCCAAGAUGUGA
rnacentral:rRNA from 1 species